rnacentral:rRNA from 1 species
GAUGAACGCUGGCGGCGUGCCUAAUCCAUGCAAGUCGAGCGAACAGACGAGGAGCUUGCUCCUCUGACGUUAGCGGCGGACGGGUGAGUACCACGUGGAUAACCUACCUAUAAGACUGGGAUAACUUCGGGAAACCGGAGCUAAUACCGGAUAUUAUAUUGAACCGCAUGGUUCAAUAGUGAAAGACGGUUUUGCUGUCACUUAUAGAUGGAUCCGCGCCGCAUUAGCUAGUUGGUAAGGUAACGGCUUACCAAGGCAACGAUGCGUAGCCGACCUGAGAGGGUGAUCGGCCACACUGGAACUGAGACACGGUCCAGACUCCUACGGGAGGCAGCAGUAGGGAAUCUUCCGCAGUGGGCGAAAGCCUGACGGAGCAACGCCGCGUGAGUGAUGAAGGUCUUCGGAUCGUAAAACUCUGUUAUUAGGGAAGAACAAAUGUGUAAGUAACUAUGCACGUCUUGACGGUACCUAAUCAGAAAGCCACGGCUAACUACGU